rnacentral:rRNA from 1 species
ACGAACGCUGGCGGACGUGCUAACACAUGCAAGUCGAGCGGAAAGGCCCUUCGGGGUACUCGAGCGGCGAACGGAGUGAGUAACACGUGGGCAAUCUGCCCCUCGCUCUGGGAUAACUCCGGGAAACCGGGGCUAAUACCGGAUAUGACUCUUUUAGGCAUCUUUGAGAGUGGAAAGUUUUUCGGCGAGGGAUGAGCCCGCGGCCUAUCAGCUUGUUGGUGGGAAGGUAAUGGCCUACCAAGGCAAGUGACGGGUAGCCGGCCUGAGAGGGCGACCGGCCCACACUGGGACUGAGACACGGCCCAGACUCCUACGGGAAGGCAGCAGUGGGGAAUAUUGCGCAAUGGGCGAAAGCCUGACGCAGCGACGCCGCGUGAGGGAUGACGGCCUUCGGGUUGUAAACCUCUUUCAGCAGGGACGAAGCGCAAGUGACGGUACCUGCAGAAGAAGCACCGGCCAACUACGUGCCCAGCAGCCGCGUAAUACGUAGGGUGCAAGCGUUGUCCGGAAUUAUUGGGUCGUAAAAGAGCUCGUAGGCGGCUUGUCACGUCGACUGUGAAAACCCGGGGCUCAACUCCGGGCCUGCAGUCGAUACGGGCUGGCUUGAGUGCGGUAGGGGAGACUGGAAUUCCUGGGUGUAGCGGUGAAAUGCGCAGAUAUCAGGAGGAACAACCGGUGGGCGAAGGCGGGUCUCUGGGCCCGUAACUGACGCUGAGAGCGAAAGCGUGGGGAGCGAACAGGAUUAGAUACCCGGUAGUCCACGCCGUAAACGUUGGGGCGCUAGGUGUGGGACCCUAAUCCACGGGUUCCGUGCCGCAGCUAACGCAUUAAGCGCCCCCGCCUGGGGAGUACGGCCGCAAGGCUAAAACUCAAAGGAAUUGACGGGGGCCCGCACAAGCGGCGGAGCAUGCGGCUUUAAUUCGAUGCAACGCGAAGAACCUAUACCAAGGGCUUGACAUACACCGAAAACUCGUAGAGAUACGGGGUCCUUCGGGGCGGUGUACAGGUGGUGCAUGGUUGUCGUCAGCUCGGUGUCGUGAGAUGUUGGGUUAUAGUCCCGCAACGAGCGCAACCCUCGUUCCAUGUUGCCAGCACUUCGGGUGGGGGACUCAUGGGAGACUGCCGGGGGGUCAAUCUCGGAGGAAGGUGGGGAUGACGUCAAAUCAUCAUGCCCCUUAUGUCUUGGGCUGCACGCAUGCUACAAUGCACGGUACAGAGGGCUGCGAAACCGUAAGGUCGAGCGAAUCCCAAAAAGCCGGUCUCAGUUCGGAUCGGGGUCUGCAACUCGACCCCGUGAAGUCGGAGUCGCUAGUAAUCGCAGAUCAGCAACGCUGCGGUGAAUACGUUCCCGGGCCUUGUACACACGCCCGUCACGUCACGAAAAGUCGGUAGUACCCGAAGUCGGUGUGCCAACCCGCAAGGGGGUAGCCGCCUAAGGUAAGACCGGUGAUUGGGGCU